AUUCAGUUGAUGAGUUUCAAAAAGGACGAAAUGCACGUCCUGGAU
rnacentral:hammerhead_ribozyme from 1 species